rnacentral:snoRNA from 1 species
GUGUUGAGGUUCGGUCGGCUUGAGGGGUGAAGAGGCUAGACGACGCUGA